UACAGAGGGUGCGAGCGUUGUUCGGAAUUAUUGGGCGUAAAGAGCUCGUAGGCGGUCUGUUACGUCCGCUGUGAAAACUCGGGGCUUAACCCCGAGCCUGCAGUGGAUACGGGCAGACUAGAGGUAGGUAGGGGAGAAUGGAAUUCCCGGUGUAGCGGUGAAAUGCGCAGAUAUCGGGAGGAACACCGGUGGCGAAGGCGGUUCUCUGGGCCUUACCUGACGCUGAGGAGCGAAAGCGUGGGGAGCGAACAGG
rnacentral:rRNA from 1 species